GAUGAACGCUGGCGGCGUGCUUAACACGUGCAAGUCGAACGGUGAAGGCGGAGCUUGCUCUGCUGGAUCAGUGGCGAACGGGUGAGUAACACGUGAGCAAUCUGCCCCUGACUCUGGGAUAAGCGCUGGAAACGGCGUCUAAUACUGGAUACGAGCUGCGAAGGCAUCUUCAGCAGCUGGAAAGAACUUCGGUCAGGGAUGAGCUCGCGGCCUAUCAGCUUGUUGGUGAGGUAACGGCUCACCAAGGCGUCGACGGGUAGCCGGCCUGAGAGGGUGACCGGCCACACUGGGACUGAGACACGGCCCAGACUCCUACGGGAGGCAGCAGUGGGGAAUAUUGCACAAUGGGCGAAAGCCUGAGGCAGCAACGCCGCGUGAGGGACGACGGCCUUCGGGUUGUAAACCUCUUUUAGCAGGGAAGAAGCGAAAGUGACGGUACCUGCAGAAAAAGCGCCGGCUAACUACGUG
rnacentral:rRNA from 1 species